rnacentral:rRNA from 1 species
GAUCCUGGCUCAGAUUGAACGCUGGCGGCAGGCCUAACACAUGCAAGUCGAACGGUAACAGGAAGAAGCUUGCUUCUUUGCUGACGAGUGGCGGACGGGUGAGUAAUGUCUGGGAAACUGCCUGAUGGAGGGGGGAUAACUACUGGAAACGGUAGCUAAUACCGCAUAACGUCGCAAGACCAAAGAGGGGGACCUCGGCGCU